rnacentral:rRNA from 1 species
GACAGAGGUGCCGAGCGUUAGGCGGAAUCACUGGGCUUAAAGCGUGUGUAGGCGGGCGGGCAAGUACCUUGUGAAAUCCCACGGCUCAACCGUGGAACGGCUGGGUAUACUGCCUGUCUUGAGCCAACUAGGGGCGAGCGGAACAGACGGUGGAGCGGUGAAAUGCGUAGAUAUCGUCUGGAACGCCGAAGGUGAAAACAGCUCGCUGGGGCUGUGCUGACGCUGAGACACGAAAGCCAGGGGAGCGAACGGG